rnacentral:lncRNA from 1 species
AAAUUAACUAUAACAUGCUAACUACAUACUUGAGACAAAGAUUUUGCUUAAAUAUUUUCAUUUUUUAAAAAAGAAUCAGAAGUGAUAAUUUAAAGAAGCAGUUGUACUAAUGUUUAAAACAAGUAUCAGAAAACUAUUCAGCCUUUUUUUCUUAAAGGUAUGCCAAACAAUUAAUAUUCUUUCUGCAAUGAAUGUAUGUAAAUCACUUAACUUUAAAAAUUGAUAUCAAUUUCUACAAGGUAGUUUUCCUUAGUUCUUAAUAUUAUAGGAUGUUACUACUACUGACUAAAAGCAACCAUGAUUUUAUCACAUGCAAAACAAGAUACAAACUUUUCUGUAUCAAACUGUUUCAUACAAUGGCUUCAUUAUGCACUGAUGUUUAUGUCACAGCCAGGAUAUAUCUGUAUCACUACUACAUCAUGGAGGGAUUUACAGAGCCAUAAUAUGUAGAUCUCCAUAAUACUGUACUGCGUAAGGAGAUAGUCACUGCAGCCACAACCUUGACUUGAAGCAAUGGAACAUAUUGUAUAUUUCUGUUCUCUAGCAUGGAAGGCUUGUUGUGCAUAACUUUGAUUUAUGGAGCUUUCAAGUCUCUAGAAAGUUUUCUGCUUAGUAUCAAUUAAUUCAAAUUGGCAUACAUGUCCAACAACUAGAUGAUCAGUAUGGAAAUCUCUGAUAUUAUUAUUCAUGUACUAGAGAAGGGGGACCUGAAUUAAUCUUCACCUCCUCUUAUACAAGCAAUCUACUGACAUUUUUGGAGGAAGGUUUAAGUUCUAAAUUCUCAAAACAAACAAUCAGAUAUUGUGUUAGUAAAUAGUACAUAGAUCCUGGGGAGCAAACAUAAAAGAAAACUGUUUCAAUAUUCGUUUUAUGGGCCUCAUAUGCAUUCUAACUGGCCAAUCAAUGAAAUACGAUGCUGUGUCACAUCGCCUUAAAGAACAGUUGAAAUUUUUUUUUAGUAUUAAACACAACUACUACCAGAAGGAGCAUGCACACACAACUGAAACAUAUGAAUUGGCAUUACUAGAUUGAGAUACACAUUUUUGAGACCUGUAGAGGUCCUUCUUGGUAUGUCCAUAUGGAAAUCAAGUACUGUACUGUAUCAAUAAACUGAAUUCCCAUACCA